AUGCUCGCUUUGGCAGCACAUAUACUAAAACUGUAACUAUAGAGAGAAUAACAUGGCCCUAUGCAAGGAUGACACACACAUUUCUGAAGCAUUCCAUAUUUUU